CUGUACGUCUCGUGCAGAAACACUUCAGAGCUAGUAAAUUGAUUUUCAGGUUGGAGAUGGAGAUCGCUUUGCUCAACUGUAGCAGAAAUUUAGAACACGACAAAGUCUGAGCUUCAUGGCUGUAGUAUCAUUAAUGUGGUUUUGUUGCAGCCAGAUGGUGAAAGGUGUGAUCAAGUCAUGGUUGAGUUGCAGCUUCUGCAUUCAGUUUAUUGAGCUGGUGCUAUCCCAAGUGUAAAUGCAGGAAAACUUCUUGAAUUGUCAUCCAGUGAAAGGUGUGAUUAAAUUGAGCUGUUGCAUGCAGUCUUUGGUGCUGAUGUUGUCCUGGAGUGUGGGAGAGUCCCAUGCUUUAAGUCUUCUGGGGAUCAGCCAUAUCUGAGUUGACGCUGGAUCAUGCUGCAUUGUGGUUGCCGAAAUGUUGGACAUCUAAUAGAACUGCAAAAAGACUCCUUGAAAUGGUUUAUGUUUACGUAGCAGUGAUGUUGCUGUCCAACAUGGCCUGCCUAAACUGGUGAA